rnacentral:rRNA from 2 species
UACGAAGGGUGCAAGCGUUACUCGGAAUUACUGGGCGUAAAGCGUGCGUAGGUGGUUCGUUAAGUCUGAUGUGAAAGCCCUGGGCUCAACCUGGGAAUUGCAUUGGAUACUGGCGGGCUAGAGUGCGGUAGAGGAUGGCGGAAUUCCCGGUGUAGCAGUGAAAUGCGUAGAGAUCGGGAGGAACAUCUGUGGCGAAGGCGGCCAUCUGGACCAGCACUGACACUGAGGCACGAAAGCGUGGGGAGCAAACAGG